rnacentral:rRNA from 1 species
GACGAACGCUGGCGGCGUGCUUAACACAUGCAAGUCGAACGAAGUGGCGCACGGGUGAGUAAUACGUGGGUAACCUGCCCUCCUUUUUGGGAUAAGCCUUGGAAACGGGGUCUAAUACCGAAUAGAGGGGGUUGGGCUCGGGGCCUAUCGGCUUGUUGGUGGUGUGGUGGCCUACCAAGGCGGUGCCGGGUAGCCGGCCUGAGAGGGUGACCGGCCACAGUGGGACUGAGCUACGGCCCAGAGUCGUACGGGAGGAAGCAGUGGGGGAUAUUGGACAAUGGGCGAAAGCCUGAUGCAGCGACGCCGCGGGGGGGAUGAAGGUUUUCGGGUUGUAAACCUCUUUCGCGAGCGAACGGGUAGGUGGAGAAGAAGCGCCGGCUAACUACGUGCCAGCCGCCGCGGUAAUUC